rnacentral:lncRNA from 1 species
CGAUGAGUGCUGCCCAUGGAGAGAUGCAAAUGGGAGCAUUUCGCUCCUGCCGCCGGCUGUUGGAGGAGAGAAGCAACAGCGAGACUGGAGGCUCUGACUCAGAUGGAGAAGAAUAAUGAGUCUCAAUUUAGCCCAGAUAAACUGGUCCCGACACGACCCGGCUGCAUCCGUUUACCGGGCCUUCGGAAAGGAAAAACAAGCGGCGGCCAGACAUGACUUCGAGUCACAGCUCCUCUGGCUUUUGACAAGGACGUGGAGGGCAUGCAGGGUCAGGCAAGGCCUGUGUCCAUAUAACAUAUGAAGAUCUCUGGAAUAUUUGUGAAGCGCAAACUGUACACUUGUUAUAUUUAGCUGAUACAAAACAGCAACUUACACCAAUUUACCCAUUUAUACACCAACCAACUAAUGUCAACGACUGCUUGUCCUAAGCAGGACCACAGUGAACCGGAGCCUGACCCGGCAACACAGGGCACAAGGCCAAAGGAGGAGAAGACACACCCUAGACAGGAUGCCAGUCCAUUGCAGGAGCACAACUAGGUACUCAGGCACACAGCCAAGCAAAGGUACUGGAACAAGUGUAGGGCAAGCACCUUGCUCAAGGACACUACAGCCAGAGAUCAAACCAGUAACCUUCAGAGCCAAAGGCAACCACUCCUACCACAACACCACACAAAGUUAAUCUAUCUACAGUUAUUUACCCAUUUUGUACAGCUGGGUAAUUUUACUGGAGCAAUUCAGGGCAAGAACCUUGUUCAAGGCUACUAGAACCAGAGGUGAAACUCAAACCUGUGACCUCUGGGUCCAAAGGCAGCAGCUCUAACCGGUGCACUACCAGCUGCCUCCAUGCAUCUUGGUAACUUUUACCAUAUCAGUUCAACGUAAGUAUUUUGAUCAAGGGCUUUACAGCAGGAGGUGGGAAGUAAACUUGUUUCCUUUGGAUCCAAAUGAAGAAGCUGGAACCACGACGCUCCCCGCUGCCCAGGUGUGUAAGUCACUAUUUCCUAAGUUAUUAUUUCAACUAGAUGUCCGGAAGCCAAGCU